GUAAUAUAUAGAUAACGUGCCUCUUAGUUUGGGAUAGCCAUUGGAAACGAUGAUUAAUACCGGAUACUCCUUCUAACUCUAAUGUUAGUCGGGAAAGUUUUUCGCUAAGAGAUCGGUCUAUAUCCCAUCAGUUAGUUGGUAAGGUAACGGCUUACCAAGGCAAUGACGGGUAGCGGGUUUGAGAGGAUGAUCCGCCACACUGGUACUGAGACACGGACCAGACUCCUACGGGAGGCAGCAGUGAGGAAUAUUGCACAAUGGGGGAAACCCUGAUGCAGCAACGCCGCGUGGAGGAUGACGCAUUUCGGUGUGUAAACUCCUUUUAUGAGUCAAGAAAAUGACGGUAGCUCAUGAAUAAGCACCGGCUAACUCCGUGCCAGCAGCCGCGGUAAUACGGAGGGUGCAAGCGUUACUCGGAAUCACUGGGCGUAAAGGACGCGUAGGCGGGAUGCCAAGUCUGAUGUGAAAUCCUAUGGCUUAACCAUAGAACUGCAUUGGAAACUGGUAACCUAGAGUAUGGGAGGGGGAGAUGGAAUUAGUGGUGUAGGGGUAAAAUCCGUAGAUAUCACUAGGAAUACCGAAAGCGAAGGCGAUCUCCUGGAACAUAACUGACGCUAAGGCGUGAAAGCGUGGGGAGCAAACGGGAUUAGAUACCCCGGUAGUCCACGCCCUAAACGAUGAACACUAGUCGUCGCUCUGCUUGUCAGGGCGGUGAUGCACUUAACAGAUUAAGUGUUCCGCCUGGGGAGUACGGUCGCAAGAUUAAAACUCAAAGGAAUAGACGGGGACCCGCACAAGUGGUGGAGCAUGUGGUUUAAUUCGAAGAUACGCGAAGAACCUUACCUAGCCUUGACACUGAUAGAAUACCCUAGAGAUAGAGUAGUGCCUUUCGGGGAACUUGAAAACAGGUGCUGCACGGCUGUCGUCAGCUCGUGUCGUGAGAUGUUGGGUUAAGUCCCGCAACGAGCGC
rnacentral:rRNA from 1 species